GGUCUGAUUGGUGUUCCUGGUACUUCUGGUGAAAAGGGUGAGCCUGGCUUGAAAGGGAACAAAGGUGAAGUAGGAGAAAAGGGUGAAAAAGGAGAAAAAGGAAUAGAAGGCAUACCUGGAAGGGAUGGCUUAAAAGGUGAUGUUGG